GAUGAAGAACGUAGCGAAAUGCGAUAAGUAAUGCGAAUUGCAGAAUUUCCGUGAGUCAUCGAAUCUUUGAACGCACAUUGCGCCCACUGGUAUUCCGGUGGGCAUGCCUGUUCGAGCGUCAUUAUCCUCCCUCAAACCCCGGGUUUGGUGUUGGACCCAAGUUGUGUGAACAACUGGUCUCAAAGACAAUGACGGCGUCCGUGGGACCCUCGGUGCAACGAGCUUUUAGGAGCACGCAUCGAGUUGCAAGGACCUUCCGGGCCGGUCUCCUUUACCAUUUUACAAGGUUGACCUCGGAUCAGGUAGGAAUACCCGCUGAACUUACGCAUAUCAAUAAGCGGAGGA
rnacentral:misc_RNA from 1 species